rnacentral:lncRNA from 1 species
CUCUUGCUGUGGUUCAUGGGACAGGCGGUGAAUCCAGUGUUCAUAAAGCCGGGGAGCUGCUCCAUCUCCAAAGCAAGGUCCUAGCUCCUAGCUCCGUGGCCUUUCAACGUAAGCACUGGAUGAGUUCUCCUGCCCUCAGAUGCAGCCAAACCACAGUGGCAGAUGUCAUGGGAAGUGCUCGCUUUCUGUCCACGUGCUCUCAGUUCAGCGGCAGCGAAGGCUUGCAGCGUACCCGAUGUGUAACCUGCAAAGGUGAGCUUGCCAUUUCCCCUCGCUUUUAUAAAAUCUGAGGAGGGCAGCUGGUGCAGGCAGUUAUUUCUCAGGGGCUGUUUCCCGGCUUGCUGCUGCUCACACCUGGUCGGAUGGAGGGGCACCCCGCCGCACCGUGGCUCCCUUUCGAAGUGUG